rnacentral:rRNA from 1 species
UACGUAGGGGGCGAGCGUUGUCCGGAUUUAUUGGGCGUAAAGAGCUCGUAGGCGGUUUGGUAAGUCGGAUGUGAAAUCUCCAGGCUCAACCUGGAGGGGUCAUUCGAGACUGCUAUGACUAGAGUUCGGUAGAGGAGUGUGGAAUUCCUGGUGUAGCGGUGGAAUGCGCAGAUAUCAGGAGGAACACCAAUAGCGAAGGCAGCUCGCUGGGACGUUACUGACACUAAGGCGCGAAAGCGUGGGGAGCGAACAGG